GAGUCGCCGUCGGUCCCUUUCCCACUCCAACAACAUCUCCUCCGCCACAGCCGUCGUUGAUUUCGACACCUCCUCGCCAAGUGCCAUCGUCCCUGUCGUGUAAACCCUAGACAGUUCAUAUCUGGGGGAGUUCUGAGGAUUGGAAGUAUGCAUGUAGACAUAUAUUGAAAUAUCACUCUGCAGAGGUGCGAGCUGUCACUGUCCAUGCAACGAAUAAAUACUUUGUGUCUGCAUCGCUUGACAGUUCGU